CAGGGCAGUGGGAACCAAGGGAGAAAAUGGAGGGAAAACUUUAAUUGAAGUGCAGAGUCCAGCAAACCAGGAGCAUUUUUGGAACCACAGAAAGUGAGAAGGCAAGAACCAUGGCUUCCUUCCUCUUAGGGAAAGGGCUGCAACACAGCCAGGCCGCUGACUGAAAUCUUCUCAUCCCAGGGGAUGCGGUGGCCACUCUCCCCAUCCUCUCCGUCCUGUGUGCGAUUCACCUGCCUAUGACUGGGGCAAGGCCUAGAUUUGUGGGAAAGGAUCCCGGCACUGGGAUCAUGAUGAACGGCAACCUCCCUGCAGCAGCCCCCUCCCCCAACAACACACGC
rnacentral:lncRNA from 1 species